CAAAAAAAAACCCUACGAUCGAUCCUUGUGCCCACGGCAGAUCGUUCUCCGCCGCCAACCAGCCCUUCGCAGGCCCGAUCCACCCCUUCGCCCCCGCCGCGGCCGAUCCAUCCCUGUGCCGCGGCCGAUCCUAACCUUCGCCGUCGCCCACUCCUGUCGAUCCCAUCUAUCGUUGCCGCUGCAGCCGCCGCAAAAAAAAUCCAUCGACCCCUCCCAUCGAUCGUUGCCGCCGCCGCCGUCCGAGGGGCAGACGCCGCCGCCGCCGCAGUACAAGGGGGAGACGCCGCCGCCGCUGCUGCAAGGCAUGGCGGUUUGAACCCCGCCCCCGCCUCUGCAAGGCAGGGUGGUUUGAAUCCCGCCCCCGCCGCUGCAAGGCAUGCUCACCAAGAUGUUCGGCGAGGCCGGCGACUACGACGGCAUCCAGUUCGUCUUCAAGAAGAUGCGGGAGGUCGGCAUCAAGCCCUAAAUCUUCGUCUACAACGCUUUGCUCGAGGCGAUCGGCAAGACCGGCAAGUUGGGGCUGGCCCGCAGCCUGUUCGAGGAAAUGUCCGCCGAGGGGGUCGAGCCCAACGAGCGCACGCGCACCGCGGUGGCCAAGAUCUGUUGCCGGGCACGCUGGGGACGCGACGUGCUCCAGCUCUGGGACAAGAUGCGCGACAAGAAGAUCCCCGCCCACAACAUCCUCUGCAACACGCAUGUGCGCCGACGUGGGGCUGGUGGCUGAGGCCGAGCAGUUCUUGGAGGAGAUGAAGCUGGACAAGUGGAGCAAAGGUUAAUCUCCCGGCCACGGGCCACAACCUGCGGGUCUUCGUCCGUCAGGGCCUGGACGCUUCUGCUACUCCACUCCUUGUGCGAACACAUCGACAUAUAUUAGCGCCCGACUGUGCCACCAAGCUCAAAUCAGGGGCUGCAAGAUUCCAUCACGAGUCUUCGUGUGGUGGUCUUGGUCUUGGAUUGUAAAGCCCGGUUUGGGAUUUUGCUACAACUGCUCAUUCAGUGAGGAGCCCAAGUAACUCCAGCUGGUUAUAUUGACACGCUAUAUGAAUGUAACGCCAUACAGAGGCAUGUUUCAUGUGUGGCAGAGGAAAGGACUAGAGGUAAUUAAAACUUCAUCUGAGGAAGCAAUCUACAAAGUCAAGUGGAGCAAUAGCGUCCAAGCAGUCUUGUUGCUAUGUUCUUGUUUUUGCUGUACACAAAGAGGCCGGGAUUGAGCAAGGGCGCUGGAGAUAUUGUGUCAAUAGUGGGCAUCUUGAUGCAGUUGCGCUUGUCGAGGUUGAGCUUGUUCCCACGCACGACUUGUAGUUGUAAACUUAUGCAUUUGGGGCUAUUAAAGGGAGGCAAUUGACGUGCAUGCCAAGAGGAGUUAUUCUGUGGCAACCCACAGGUAUUUAGCUAGAUCAUCUUAGUCGGAUACUAAUAUCUAUUACUGUUGUCUUAACCCAGUUCUUGUUUUGGUGCCUUAAAAAAUCAUCUUAAUCGGAUACUGAUAUCACUUAUGCAAGAGUCAUGUUUGAUCAUUAAAAGAAAUGGCCACGGAUCCCCACGGACGCCGCCACUGCCGCGGAUCCCCACGGAUGAUGCAGACGCCGCCGAACAGAGCAGGAUGUGGUCGCGUUGCACUGAUUGGAGGAGACCGUGCCGGCCGUGCGCUGUUUGGAGGACGAACACAGGUUCACCGCCAUGGCUAUGAGAGGACGCAUUUGUGUUCAGUUGUUCGGGCAGAGGAGGCACUUUGUUGAAGCAUCAAGUGAAUUGAAAUGUGCAAAUGCUCUUGGUGCCCAUUAGUUCUGUGUGUGAGUAAGAAAUUGUUUUCUUCUCCAUAGCUGAGAAACCAGUAAAGAAAUUAUGUGUCAGGAGCAAGAAUCUUUUUCGAUGAAAGCCGCUACCUUUCAUAUAUAAAUUGUGUUCCUUUUCAAGAAAGAAAUCCAUAGCCUUGAAUCAAUAGAUAUACAUAAGUUUUAUGUUGAUGUUAUCUACAAUAAGAGUACUUGAAAUUGAUAGAGUUGCCAUUAGAUUUUCCGAGAAGAGGCAGACAUUAUAUCACCUGUCCGUUUAAUCUUUCUCUGUUUAUUAUGUUGCUUCUCUUUUUUUGUCUUAUUCUUAUUCCAAUAAUUGCAUUAGGAUUCAUUGCCAAUUUAUUCGGUCCUUAUUUAAUUUGGAUGGUGCUGAACUAUUUUUGUGGUCCUUAUUUAAUUUGGAUGGUGCUGAACUAUUUUUGUGGUACCUGGUACCUUUCAUGAUCAAGAAGAGCUCACAUGUGACUAAAUAGACAUGGUGCAUUGUUUAAGCAUGCAUAUUUGGCCUCUUUGGACUAUUAAUAGAAGCUUGUGUCCCCUUUGGACUAGGGAAGGUAUGUUAAAUUGUACCAACCAUGUCAUUAGACUAUAACAGAAGAAAAAAAUGUAUCAAAUUAUAUGUUUACUUCGAUCGGUAUGAAUGGCAGGUGACAUUCGUACUAAAAUUUUGGCUAUAAUCUAUUCAACCUGGUUGUAAAUCAUUGCAUGGUAAUGUUUCUAUGUGCAUAUUCUGGAUUGCUCUGUGCAAAUGCAUAAGACAGGGAAGGACCAUGCCGUGAGCUUAUUGAUAAAUCUGAGCAGCUAGCUAGGCUCUGUAGUAACAUCUUAACUGCCUGCUUAGAUUACUUAUCUGUUCGGUCAUUCCUUCUUUUUGCCUGCUUAGUAUAAACUGUAUGUUCUAUUCUGCAGCUCCUGCUGCUGCUAUAUUGACCUCUACUUGAAGUCAGGAGCCAAAUUGAAGAUCAAAUUCAGCUUGGCUCAUCAACGGUCGUCGGCUCAUGGUCUUGGCGAUUGCAUGCAUAGCACGGAUGGUCUGUGUAGGCGCAGCAGCAAGCAGGGGGCGAAUCGAUCUAAUGCGAACAUAUGCAGCAGGCAGCCACCAGUCGGGUGAAUCCAUCUAAUGUAGCAGUAAGCAAGCAUUCUGUGCACAUGCAGCAUGAAGCUGCUCGUACAACAUUCAAUCAAGUUGCAUGGAGUAGCUAGCUAGCUUCACACACAAAUAUGCAUGUGUGCAUCCUUCGAGGGUAUUCAUCUAAUAAUAAUGGGGUUGGGAGGACUAUUAUUCACUGAUGGGUUGGACCAAACACUUAGUAUGCAUAGUAGUAAUUUUUUGUUUGCAGUUUUGGAAGGCGGGGUUACGAUUGUUUGGCCUCUACGAGGCUCCGCCAGUGUUGGAUGGUGAGGAGUGGUGAUGUGUAGAGAAGGGGCACUUUGCUUGAGAUAUCUUGAUGGGGAUUGGGUGCUGUUGCUACUGCUUUUUUUUCUGAACGAGAUGUGGUGGCACUGAGAUGGUCUGAGCAGGGGAGCAUGACAAAAAUGCUAAUUCCUCCCUGACUCUUUCAUUUGAUUGCAGAAUAUUGUGCUUACUCCUAU